UACGUAGGGUGCAAGCGUUGUCCGGAAUUAUUGGGCGUAAAGAGCUCGUAGGCGGUUUGUCGCGUCCGCUGUGAAAUCCCGGGGCUUAACCCCGGGCCUGCAGCCGAUACGGGCAAGCUAGAAUUCGGUAGGGGAGACUGGAAUUCCUGGUGUAGCGGUGAAAUGCGCAGAUAUCAGGAGGAACACCGGUGGCGAAGGCGGGUCUCUGGGCCGAUAUUGACGCUGAGGAGCGAAAGCGUGGGGAGCAAACAGG
rnacentral:rRNA from 1 species